CCUCCCAAAGCCUAGGUUGGAAUCUAUCCCAACUUCCAACAGUUUGGAAUCCUCGAGGCACCAGCUGAGGACCGCAGUCCACGGGGAAACCUGGGUCCGUCCGCUCUUUGAAUGACCGCCAGGGGGCGCUGCAAGGCUGCUUCCCAGAUUUUGGGCAGCCUGGUAGUUGCCACAAGACUUUAGUAGACCCUGGAAAACGUGGCACGAGUGAAAACUACUCCAAUGUAGGGAAUUGGUCCUAAAAGAGCUCCCUAAUAAAUGUCCUACACACCAGCGAUCAAUAACUUUUCAUCUUGGAAACAGCUCUAAGAGAACCAACCUACAAGACAAACUGCCAUUUGACCCCUGGACUGCCGGCAUAGACCCCUCCUGGGGGCCUUCUAUGAGCUUCUGAGUCUCCAAGGACUUCCCGACAUAAGGAGCAUGGCGGCACAUCUCUAAAUAGAAAGAUCCCAGCUGUUUUAUUCAGGUAGCCCUGGCUGUCCUGGAACUCACUCUAUAGACCGCGCUGGCCUUGAAC